rnacentral:rRNA from 1 species
GAUGAACGCUGGCGGCGUGCCUAAUACAUGCAAGUCGAGCGAACGGACGAGAAGCUUGCUUCUCUGAUGUUAGCGGCGGACGGGUGAGUAACACGUGGAUAACCUACCUAUAAGACUGGGAUAACUUCGGGAAACCGGAGCUAAUACCGGAUAAUAUUUUGAACCGCAUGGUUCAAAAGUGAAAGACGGUCUUGCUGUCACUUCUAGCUGGAUCCCCGCUGCAUUAGCUAGUUGGUAAGGUAACGGCUUACCAAGGCAACGAUGCAUAGCCGACCUGAGAGGCGGAUAGGCCACAUUAGAACUGGAACACGGUCCAGGCUCCUACGGGACGGAGCAGUAGGCAACCUGCCGCAGUAGGCGAAAACCUGACGGAGUAACGCCGCGUGAGUGAUGAAGAUCUUGCGAUCGUGAAACUCUGUUAUUAGGGAAGAACAUAUGUGUAAGUAACUGUGCACAUCUUGACGGUACCUAAUCAGAAAGCCACGGCUAACUACGUG